rnacentral:misc_RNA from 1 species
GAUGAAGAACGCAGCGAAAUGCGAUAAGUAAUGUGAAUUGCAGAAUUCAGUGAAUCAUCGAAUCUUUGAACGCACAUUGCGCCCGCCAGUAUUCUAGCGGGCAUGCCUGUUCGAGCGUCAUUACAACCCUCAGGCCCCCGGGCCUGGCGUUGGGGAUCGGCGGAGCCCCCCGUGGGCACACGCCGUCCCCCAAAUACAGUGGCGGUCCCGCCGCAGCUUCCAUCGCGUAGUAGCUAACACCUCGCGACUGGAGAGCGGCGCGGCCACGCCGUAAAACACCCAACUCUUCUGAAGUUGACCUCGAAUCAGGUAGGAAUACCCGCUGAACUUAAGCAUAUCAAUAAGCGGAGGA